rnacentral:tRNA from 1 species
GAGGGUGUGGCUUAGUGGUAGAGUACUUGCCUAGCCUGCAUACAGCCCUGGGUUCUACCCCCAGUAUCCCCC